UGCUUGGACCUUAAUUAAGAUUAAAUCCGCCAGAAAAUUACGGGCGAAAGCCUAAAACUCAAAAGACUUGACGGUAUCCCAACCUACCUAGAGGAGCCUGUUCCAUAAUCGAUAACCCACGAUAAACCUAACCACCUUUCGAAGACACAGUCUAUAUACCGCCGUCGAUCAGCCUACCUUUUAAAAGAAUAUAAGCGGGCCAAAAAGUAUUAUACUAACAAGUCAGGUCAAGGUGUAGCUUAUAAGGUGGAGAAAAUGGGCUACAUUAUUUAUAUUAAAUAAAACGAACUAUAACCUGAAAAUAAUAUAAAGGUGGAUUUAGCAGUAAAUUAAACAAGAAAAUUUAGUUUAACAUAAGCUCUGGAAUAUGUACACACCGCCCG
rnacentral:rRNA from 1 species